rnacentral:rRNA from 1 species
UGAAGAGUUUGAUCAUGGCUCAGAUUGAACGUUGGCGGCAGGCCUAAGACAUGCAAGUCGAGCGGAAACGACACCUUCGGGUGGGCGUCGAGCGGCGGACGGGUGAGUAACGCGUAGGAAUCUACCCAGUAGCGGGGGAUAGCCCGGGGAAACUCGGAUUAAUACCGCAUACGCCCUACGGGGGAAAGGUGGCCUCUUCUUGAAAGCUACCGCUAUUGGAGGAGCCUGCGUUGGAUUAGCUAGUUGGUGGGGUAAUGGCCUACCAAGGCGACGAUCCAUAGCUGGUCUGAGAGGACGAUCAGCCACACUGGGACUGAGACACGGCCCAGACUCCUACGGGAGGCAGCAGCCGG